UUCGGCUAUAUCACGUUGAAACACAGAUUCUUGUACGACCACCGAAUUUAAGCAUAGUCAAUCGUGGUCAGUACUUAGAUGGGUGACCACUUGGGAAUACCAGGUGCU